GUUUGAUCCUGGCUCAGAUUGAACGCUGGCGGCAGGCCUAACACAUGCAAGUCGAGCGGAUGAAAGGAGCUUGCUCCUGGAUUCAGCGGCGGACGGGUGAGUAAUGCCUAGGAAUCUGCCUGGUAGUGGGGGACAACGUUUCGAAAGGAACGCUAAUACCGCAUACGUCCUACGGGAGAAAGCAGGGGACCUUCGGGCCUUGCGCUAUCAGAUGAGCCUAGGUCGGAUUAGCUAGUUGGUGAGGUAAUGGCUCACCAAGGCGACGAUCCGUAACUGGUCUGAGAGGAUGAUCAGUCACACUGGAACUGAGACACGGUCCA
rnacentral:rRNA from 1 species